rnacentral:rRNA from 1 species
GGGGACGAAAAAAUAACGAUACGGGACUCUCUCGAGACCCCGUUAAUCGGAAUGAGCACGGCCUAAAUCCUCUAACGAGGACCCAUUGGAGGGCAAGUCUGGUGCCAGCAGCCGCGGUAGUUCCAGCUCCAAUAGCGUAUAUUAAAGUUGUUGCGGUUAAAAAGCUCGUAGUUGGAUCUCAGUUCCAGACGGGCGGUCCGCCUAACGGCGGCCACCGCCCGGCCUGAACAACCGGCCGGUUUCCCUAGAUGGCCUUCACCGGUUGUCCUGGGUGACCGGCGCGUUUACUUUAAAAAAAUUAGAGUGCUG